GCCUGGACGGACUGGGGCCUGCAGACACUGGCCUUGGCUCGUGGAAGGGGCGGAGCCGGGAUCUCACCCGGUCCUAGAGGAGACGGAAGCUCCAACUGAGUGCGGGGCCGAAGACACUUACCCUGUGCACUCGGGCAGAGACUGCGGUUCGGGGUCCCGGAGGUCCAGUGGGCAGCUCCCCAGAUGUGGAGAUUGGCACUUGGAGAAGGAAGGCAGCUGCCCAAGGGUCUCACAAGCAGGUGGUGGGCAAGCCAGGACUAGAGCCCACACUUACAGACAUACCUCCCGUCCCACAACUGUUGCCCAUCUGCAAAGGCACUCCGAGGGCAACGCACUCACCCCCUCCCUUUGCCAGCACCAGCCAUGAACUACGUGGGGCAGCUGGCAGAGACGGUGUUUGGGACAGUGAAGGAGAUAUACCGGGGCCUGAACCCGGCCACACUGAGUGGUGGCAUCGAUGUGCUGGUGGUGAAGCAGGUGGACGGCUCCUUCCGAUGUUCGCCCUUCCAUGUGCGGUUCGGCAAGCUGGGUGUCCUGCGGUCGCGAGAGAAGGUGGUAGACAUUGAGAUCAACGGGGAGCCCGUGGACUUGCACAUGAAGCUGGGAGACAGCGGGGAGGCCUUCUUUGUCCAGGAGCUGGAGAGCGAUGAUGAACACGUACCUCCCCGCCUAUGCACAUCACCCAUCCCUUGUGGGGGCCUGUCUGGGUUCCCCUCAGACUCCCAGCUGAGCACAGACAGUGAGCCUGAAGCCAUCAUUGAGGGGGUGGCCUCCACGGGGCGGAAGAAGAGGCGUCGGAGGAGGAAACCCAGGCGGAAGGAGGACACGGUGGCAGCCAAUUCCAGUUCUGAGGAGCUGGAGACAGGCGCUGAGAGUGAACUGUCUCUACUGGAAAAGCCAAGGCCGGAGCCCCCAGGCAGUGUCAAAUCCGAAGGGGAGUCCUCACCGCAAGCCAAAGACUUCUACCCCUACUCUGAUGGCGAGUGGUGCCCCCAGGCCAGCCUCUUGCCGGGUGUGCUAAUGACAUCCCCAAAGAGCGACUCAGAGCUGGAGCUGCGGACCCCUGAGCCCAGCCCCCUGCGAGCUGAGUCCCACAUACAGUGGGCCUGGGGGAGGCUGCCCAAGGUGGCCAAAGCAGAAUGGCCCGAGUGCUCGAAGAUCGCUGAUGGUGGUGUCAGGGCAGCUCCACCUCUUCAGGGAGAGCCCGGCACCCCCUCUGCUCCUGUGGCUGGUGUGGACCCUUCGGGGCCCCUAAUCCUGCAGACAGGGGCUGGUGCUGACCUUCCUCCUACUGACACGGAGCCUCCUGCUCUGGUGGGUCCCCCUCUCCCCACCCCUGAGAGAAAGAAAACCGAGACUCAGAGCCGAAGGGAUCCAGGCCUCCCUCCACCCUCAAAAUCAUGGAGCUGGGCCGCCCUGGAGGGCCCACUUCCCACCAGGCAGCCCGAGGGGGUCUCUAGCAGGAAAGGCUCUGUGAAGAGAAGCCAGCACCUGGGCCCCAGUGACAUCUAUCUGGACGACUUGCCCUCUCUGGAUUCUGAGAAUGCAGCCCUUUACUUCCCCCAGAGUGACUGUGGACUGGGGCCCAGAAGGUGGAGUGAACCCAACAGCCAGAAGCCUUUGGGGGACCCCAACCCUGAACAGGAGCCAGAACCCACUUUGGACAUGAUAGUGCUUUCCCUCUGUGGUGGACUAGCUGACAGCCGGGACAUCUCCCGGGAGAAAUUCAACCAGCACAUAGUCUCCUACGAGGACCUCGUCCAAAACCCUGGCCUCCUUGAGCACCCGAACCUGGUGGUAAAAAUCAAUGAGAAACAUUAUAACUGGGCUGUAGCUGCCCCCAUGAUCCUCUCCCUGCAAGCCUUCCAGAAGAACUUGCCCAAGAGCACUGUGGACAAACUGGAGAAGGAGAAGAUGCCCCGGAAAGGUGGACGGUGGUGGUUUUCCUGGCGACGCAGGGACUUCCCGGCUGAGGAGCGCAGUGCCCAGGCGGAGAAAAGCACAGCCAGGGAGCAGCAGGGGGCGAAGACUGAUGUGCCGAGUAGUGAGGAUGACGCCCCAGAGAGCCCUGUGAUCCUCGAGGUCCCUUCCCUGCCACCCUCGCCUCCAGCCUACCCUCCUACCUACAGGAAGUCCCUCCGCCUCUCCUCCAGCCAGAUCCGGCGCCUGAACCUGCAAGAAGGUGCCAAUGAUGUGGUCUUCAGUGUGACCACCCAGUACCAGGGCACCUGCCGCUGCAGGGCCACCAUCUACCUGUGGAAAUGGGACGACAAGGUGGUCAUCUCGGACAUCGAUGGGACCAUUACCAAGUCGGACGCUCUGGGUCACAUUCUGCCCCAGCUAGGGAAAGACUGGACACACCAGGGCAUCACCAGUCUCUACCACAAAAUCCACCUAAAUGGGUACAAGUUCCUGUACUGCUCGGCACGGGCUAUCGGCAUGGCGGGCCUCACCAAGGGCUACCUGCAGUGGGUGAGCGAGCGGGGCUGCGGCCUCCCUGAGGGCCCCCUUCUGCUGUCUCCCAGCAGCCUCUUCUCCGCCCUCCACAGGGAGGUGAUUGAGAAGAAACCAGAGGUGUUCAAAAUCACCUGCCUGAGUGAUAUCCAGCAGCUGUUCCUGCCCCACGGACAGCCCUUCUAUGCUGCCUUUGGGAACAGGCCCAACGAUGUCAUCGCCUACCGGCAGGUGGGCCUACCUACAUCUCGAAUCUUCACAGUCAACCCCCGGGGAGAGCUCAUCCAGGAGCUCAUGAAGAACCACAAAUCCACGUACGAACGGCUCGGCGAGGUGGUCGAGCUCCUCUUCCCGCCCGUGGCCCGUGGCCCCAGCACAGACCUGGCCCACCCUGAAUACAGCAACUUCUGCUACUGGCGGAAGCCCCUGGUUGCUGUGGACUUUGAUGCCCUGGCCUGACCCUGCCCCGGCUACCCCCUCCUCCCUGGCCAGGUGUUCCAGGGAGUGGGUGUCCCAGGGAUCGGGACACUGAAAGCUGGGUACCACGGGGCCAGUCCACUGAACGGGAGGAGGGGGCUGAAGGCUGGACCAGGGCCGGUGGAAACCUCUGGUCCUUGGUUUCAGAAACCGUAUCCACGAAGCUGCCGGGUAUGAGGACAGCGCCAGUGGGUACCAUCUUCCUGCAGAAACUGAGCCCAGACAGCAAGGGAGAGAAGCCAAGGGGACAAGGGAACCAGAAGCCCCCACAGGCUGGGGGCUAUGGCCUGGGGACAAAGGGAGAUGUGGACAGGUCACUGUCUGUGACCAGACCUGCGGGUCUUUGUACAGGUGCUGACCCUGGUGUGUCUGAAGAGAGACAAUUUGCAGACUGGAUUGUGAGGUCAAUUAGGUCCACCCUGGCCUUCAGGCAUGAUGUCCUUGCCUUGACCACGAUGUUGAAUUGUCCAGUUGGUACAGCACUGAGUGUGGAUUUUGGUGGCUGGGACAGUCAUAUGGAGCUGGACCAAGGCUAUUCCUUCUGUGGCCUCUGAAGUGGCAUCCAUGCUGGCCAGGGGGGGCUGGGAGGCACUGCUGGGCAAGGCUGGGCUCUGGAGGGACAUCCCCAGGGUCAGCGGGGUCCAGGGGCGGGUCCUGUCUGGCCUGCCUAGUCAGCUUGCCGGGGCCGCGCCUGCUCGGCCAGCUGGGCCCGGCAGUACAGGAGGUCAUCCCGGAGGCGGGCGAUGUCCUGCGCAUGCUGAGCCAGUGUGCGAUUCAGCUGGUCCACGUAGCCCCACAGGCCCUCCCUGUGGGCAGCCAGUAGGCCCAGCCUCCCGCAGGCACCUUCCACCUGCGCCACCCUCUGGUCGAAGCGGCCCAGCACGUGCCGCAGGUCCUGGGCUGUGUGCUGGCAGCGGCUCAGCCCGCCCGCCACAUCGGCCACGCCGGCCUUGAGUCGCUCCAGCUCCCCCCGCAGGCUCAGGACCUGCCUGUGGCCGGCCUGAAGCCGAGAGCCCUGGCUGCUGACCUGUUCCUGGAUGGCGUGCACCUCAGCCUCCACCUUGCGCUCUCGCUCGUCCAGGGAGGAGUUGGCCUCCAGGAAGGCAUCGGAGUACCGGCUGACGGAGUCGCUGAGGCCCGUGAGCGACUUGCUCACAGAGUUCAGAUUGACCUUGAGCAGGGUGAUCUCGCCUUGGAGUGAGCUGCCCGUUGCUUCUGCCAGCUGCUCCUGGACCUCGGCCACGGUGCCGUUGAGCUGCCGGAGCAGGGCUGCGUGGCUGGCCACCUGGUGUAGGAGGGCCUCGCUCCGGCUCUGCCAGGCCUUCACCUCUGCCGCGAGGGUGUCCAGGAUGGCCGAGGUGGUGCUGGGAGUGCACGAGGACUCCAGUGAAACCAGCCGCUGUUCCAGCACCGCCAGCUCCGUCUGCACCCGGGGCCGGGCCGACCUGCCCGGUGGGUCGCUGUCAUGGCUCAGCUCCCCAGCCAGCGUCACCAGGCGCUCCUCUAGGCUCUGCACUCGCUCUUCCAGCAGGGUCCUGAAGCUGCCCACGUCCCAUCCCCCCUCCUCCCCCCCCAGGCAGCAGCCUCUCGCUCCGCCUUCCGUCCCAUUGAGGGUCUCCAGGCCCUCCAGCAGCCGGUCCGCACCCCCCUCAAGCAUGGCAGCAGAGAGCCGCUCCAGCUCAUCCCUGGUGAGGGGGCCAUGGCCCCUCUGGGCCUCAGUGACAGCCUGUAGAUUCCUCUCGAGGUUGUCCACACGGGCGCUGAUCAAAGCCAGCCGGCCGCAGCAGCCGCCCCCUCCGGCCAUGCUCAGCCCCUGUAGCCUCGACCCGAGCUGUGACAGCUCCCGGCGCAGGGCCAGCUCCCGGCCAUCCAGGCUCUGGUGCAGCCGCUGGCUGGCUGCUUGACCCUCCUCACACUGCUGCCGCACCUCCUGCACCCGCAGGUCGCAGGAACUCUGGACACCUUGCAGCUUCUGCUCGAAGCCAUCCAGUAGGCUCCCCCAGAGUCGGUGCAGCCGUCGGUCCACGUACUCGUCCAGAAGCGUCAGGGAGGUGAGUGGAGACGGAGGGGCCUCCCGCAGCCGCUGUAGGUGAGCCUCGUGACCCAGGGCCAGCCCGUGCACCUCGUCCAGCAGCUGCACCUUGGUCCGGAGCGUGUUGCUCACCUCUGUCACCUUGCUCAAGAUCUCAUCCAGGGGGGGUGUGAGUGGCCCUCCAGCUCUGUCUCUGGGCUUCACAAACCCCUCAGAGACGAUCCCGAAGCCCACAGGGGUGGCAGGAGCCCUGGGACCACUGGUCAUCCUGUUGGGGUCUUCAUGGCUGGCCACCAGGCCACUGAGGGUACCAUAUGCUUGUGCCAGGCGCUGGACAUCACCCUCCAGUCGUUCUAGCCGCUCACCAAACAGCCCUGGACCUUUUCUUCCUGGAAGAGAGAACCCCAGGGGCAUCGCUGGCCUGCCUCCCUCAGCUUGUCCUGUGGCCAGGCCACCUGAGAGAUUUUCUGUUCUAAGUGCACCUUCCCACUGGGCAUAGCUCUCUCAGCUUUGGGAGGGGCUCUGGGAGCUCUCCCUCAAGCCCAGCAUGAGAUGCACCCUCCCCAGCCCUGCCAGAGCUCAGCCUACCUGGCUCAAUCCCCUCCCCACCGCUCCGAAAAAACCUGAUCACCUGGUAGGGUCUCCUCCAGGCAGACUCACCAUAGGGGCUGGGGACCGCUCUGCUAGAAGAAGGGGGCUGGGGCCCUGGGCCCAGCUGCCCCGAGGGAAUCUGGGGCUGAGGCUCUGGCUGGGCUGGGGAGGCCCCAUGGUCGGUGAGGUGCUCGGGGCAGCCUUCUCCAGUGAGGCCAGGGCAGCACCGCCAGGUGAGGUCCGUCACUGUCUUGUAGCCGACCUUGUAUCUGGGUCUGAGCACUGUGCGGUACCUGGGCCAGACAGGGGGAGAGGGCGCUGCCCUGUACCUGUGGGCUGAGGCUCCUGCCUCCUGGCGUAAGAUCUAAUUAUCUCCCCACCUCUACACCACCAUCAAAGCCUCCCUUUUCUGUGUAUUCGGUGACAGGGCAGUUGGGGUGGAGGCGGGCCUUUCAGGGCUUCAGAGAAGGGUUAAGGAGCAGGUGCAGGUGAAGUCCCAUCCCAUCCUGUUUGCUUGGGGAGAACACUAGCAGGGACUUAGCCCCAGUGUCCCCAAGACCAUUUUGGAUCCCCUUGAGCUCAUGCUGCCAUGAGAAAUUCCACUCUGGCUUUGGCGAUACCUGGAAGAAUUCUGGCACAAUCUCAGCCCCUCCCCCGUGGAGUGGGGUGGGAUGGGUAUUGCCCUGGAGCCGGGGUGCACAGCCCUUCCCAGUGUGCAGGGGCAGCUCUCGGCUCCCAUCUGUCCCCUCAGUUCUGUCUGCUCCUCUGUAACCUGUUCUGGGAACUCAGCUCUGGCCACCCAGGCUGGUGGAUGGCACCUUGGAUUCUGAGCACAGAAGGGAAGGCCCAGGGGUGCAGGGCAGGGCUCGCCAGGGCCCCUCCCUCGCCUGCUCAGCCACGUGCCUGUCUACCCACUGACACACUGGAGCAAGUGGGUUUGUUUUCAGACAUGCACUUAAACCUCUCCAAGUAUA